CCAUGAAGCUGGAUUCGCUAGUAAUCGCGCAUCAGCACGGCGCGGUGAAUACGUUCCCGGGCCUUGUACACACCGCCCGUCAAGCCAUGGGAGCCGGGGUGCCUGAAGGCCGUGACCGCGAGGAGCGGCCUAGGGUAAAACUGGUGACUGGGGCUAAGUCGUAACAAGGUAUC
rnacentral:rRNA from 1 species